rnacentral:rRNA from 1 species
GGGUUGUGAGGUUAAGCGACUAAGCGUACACGGUGGAUGCCUAGGCAGUCAGAGGCGAUGAAGGGCGUGCUAAUCUGCGAAAAGCGUCGGCAAGGUGAUAUGAACCGUUAUACCCGACGAUACCCGAAUGGGGAAACCCAGUGUGUUUCGACACACUAUCAUGUCAUGAAUCCAUAGUGACAUGAGGCGAACCGGGGGAACUGAAACAUCUCAGUACCCCGAGGAAAAGAAAUCAACCGAGAUUCCCCCAGUAGCGGCGAGCGAACGGGGAAGAGCCCAGAACCAGAAUCAGUUUGUGCAUCAGUGGAAGCGUCUGGAAAGUCGCACGGUACAGGGUGAUAGUCCCGUACACAAAGAUGCACUUGCUGUGAGUUCGACGAGUAGGGCGGGACACGAGAUAUCCUGUCUGAAGAUGGGGGGACCAUCCUCCAAGGCUAAAUACUCCUGACUGACCGAUAGUGAACCAGUACCGUGAGGGAAAGGCGAAAAGAACCCCGGCGAGGGGAGUGAAACAGAACCUGAAACCGUGUACGUACAAGCAGUGGGAGCCCCACCACCAAAGCAUUCUCUGGUGAUGAAGGCAGUGCAACAGCAGCAUCGCGGUGGCGGCGCGUCUUUUGCGACGCCCAACACACAAGACAAGCGGUGAGUGCUUUGGGGUGGGGUGACUGCGUACCUUUUGUAUAAUGGGUCAGCGACUUAUAUUUUGUAGCAAGGUUAACCGAAUAGGGGAGCCGCAGGGAAACCGAGUCUUAACUGGGCGUCAAGUUGCAAGGUAUAGACCCGAAACCCGGUGAUCUAGCCAUGGGCAGGUUGAAGGUUGGGUAACACUAACUGGAGGACCGAACCGACUAAUGUUGAAAAAUUAGCGGAUGACUUGUGGCUGGGGGUGAAAGGCCAAUCAAACCGGGAGAUAGCUGGUUCUCCCCGAAAGCUAUUUAGGUAGCGCCUCGUGAAGUCAUCUUCGGGGGUAGAGCACUGUUUCGACUAGGGGGCCAUCCCGGCUUACCAACUCGAUGCAAACUGCGAAUACCGAAGAAUGUUAUCACGGGAGACACACGGCGGGUGCUAACGUCCGUCGUGAAGAGGGAAACAACCCAGACCGCCAGCUAAGGUCCCAAAGUCAUGGUUAAGUGGGAAACGAUGUGGGAAGGCCCAGACAGCCAGGAUGUUGGCUUAGAAGCAGCCAUCAUUUAAAGAAAGCGUAAUAGCUCACUGGUCGAGUCGGCCUGCGCGGAAGAUGUAACGGGGCUAAACCAUGCACCGAAGCUGCGGCAGCGGACAUAUCACUUAAGACAAUUAUGCGAAAACCGAUUGACGGAGCGCCGCGACGUCAAUGUGUUGAUUACGUCGAGUUGACUUAAGGAUAUGUCCGUUGGGUAGGGGAGCGUUCUGUAAGCCGUUGAAGGUGGUCUGUGAGGAUUGCUGGAGGUAUCAGAAGUGCGAAUGCUGACAUAAGUAACGAUAAUGCGGGUGAAAAACCCGCACGCCGGAAGACCAAGGGUUCCUGUCCAACGUUAAUCGGGGCAGGGUGAGUCGACCCCUAAGGCGAGGCCGAAAGGCGUAGUCGAUGGGAAACAGGUUAAUAUUCCUGUACUGGGUGUUACUGCGAAGGGGGGACGGAGAAGGCUAUGUUGGCCGGGCGACGGUUGUCCCGGUUUAAGCGUGUAGGUGGGUGCUCCAGGCAAAUCCGGAGCGCUAUUAACGCCGAGGCGUGAUGACGAGGCACUACGGUGUCGAAGUGACAAAUGCCACGCUUCCAGGAAAAGCCCCUAAGCAUCAGGUAACAUCGAAUCGUACCCCAAACCGACACAGGUGGUCAGGUAGAGAAUACUCAGGCGCUUGAGAGAACUCGGGUGAAGGAACUAGGCAAAAUGGUGCCGUAACUUCGGGAGAAGGCACGCUGUGCGAGGUGAAGUCCCUGGCGGAUGGAGCGUUGCGCAGUCGCAGAUACCAGCUGGCUGCAACUGUUUACUAAAAACACAGCACUGUGCAAACACGAAAGUGGACGUAUACGGUGUGACGCCUGCCCGGUGCCGGAAGGUUAAUUGAUGGGGUAAGCCGCAAGGCGAAGCUCUUGAUCGAAGCCCCGGUAAACGGCGGCCGUAACUAUAACGGUCCUAAGGUAGCGAAAUUCCUUGUCGGGUAAGUUCCGACCUGCACGAAUGGCGUAAUGAUGGCCAGGCUGUCUCCACCCGAGACUCAGUGAAAUUGAACUCGCUGUGAAGAUGCAGUGUACCCGCGGCAAGACGGAAAGACCCCGUGAACCUUUACUAUAGCUUGACACUGAACCUUGAGCCUUGAUGUGUAGGAUAGGUGGGAGGCUUUGAAGCGUGGACGCCAGUCUGCGUGGAGCCAACCUUGAAAUACCACCCUUUGAUGUUUGAUGUUCUAACGUGGGCCCGUAAACCGGGUUGCGGACAGUGUCUGGUGGGUAGUUUGACUGGGGCGGUCUCCUCCCAAAGAGUAACGGAGGAGUACGAAGGUUAGCUAAUCCUGGUCGGACAUCAGGAGGUUAGUGCAAAGGCAUAAGCUAGCUUGACUGCGAGAGUGACGGCUCGAGCAGGUGCGAAAGCAGGUCUUAGUGAUCCGGUGGUUCUGAAUGGAAGGGCCAUCGCUCAACGGAUAAAAGGUACUCCGGGGAUAACAGGCUGAUACCGCCCAAGAGUUCAUAUCGACGGCGGUGUUUGGCACCUCGAUGUCGGCUCAUCACAUCCUGGGGCUGAAGUAGGUCCCAAGGGUAUGGCUGUUCGCCAUUUAAAGUGGUACGCGAGCUGGGUUUAGAACGUCGUGAGACAGUUCGGUCCCUAUCUGCCGUGGGCGUUGGAAGAUUGAGGGGGGUUGCUCCUAGUACGAGAGGACCGGAGUGAACGCACCACUGGUGUACGGGUUGUGAUGCCAAUUGCAUUGCCCGGUAGCUACGUGCGGAAGAGAUAACCGCUGAAAGCAUCUAAGCGGGAAACUUGCCCCGAGAUGAGUCUUCCCUGGGCCUUAAAGGCCCCUGAAGGGACGUUUAAGACGAAGACGUUGAUAGGCUGGGUGUGUAAGCGCAGCGAUGCGUUGAGCUGACCAGUACUAAUGACCCGAGAGGCUUAACCUUACAACACCGAAGGUGUUU